rnacentral:lncRNA from 1 species
CUCAGUGUCAGUCAAUCCAGGAAGGUCACUUUCACCCUUCUUCACAAUCACCAAGUUCAAAACAGAAAGGUCAGGGCUGACAAUGCAACCACGGACAGACUUUCUCCUCCUCUCACCAUUCCUCCUUCCAUAACCACGGAAGCAAGGGGUUCCUGGAAAAAAAAUAUUUAAAAGGUUUGUUAAGAUGCAGGAAAGCAAGCUUCUACAAACUUCGGUCAUGAAUGCAAAAAAUACAGAUAAAACACGAGGGUCACUCAGAACCUCUGUGUAGCAAGAGGCGAACACGGCCGGGGGUCAACACUCCCUGCUUCAUUGGAAACCCUUGCUUGUCACAUCCUCCCAUAAUCUUGAAGACAUAUCCC